CUUAGCGCAGCACCAUUUAGGUGCCUGAAAACCAAAUUUUCAAGAGUAGUUAUGAUUUUAGAGGUUUUGUAUGCUGCUUGUCGACGGGAUUUUCUAGCUCCUUUAAGGUUCUGUGAUUCCGUGCUUUGGAUCGUGCCACAUGGCAGGGCCAGACGGCAAGGUCAUAGUCCAGGAGCUGCAGAUUUUUCUGGGUGUCACUGUAUCAAAACCCUCGUUUACAACCCUAAGCCCUGAGUAAUCUCCCAUACUAUUCUUUUCAAAAAGCCCAGGUUUGAGUACCAGAAAUUGCCAAAAGGUGUUAGAAAACCUACCCAACCAGUUGCAGUACAGGAUAAUGUAGCCUAACUUAAAAAGCAGGGGCAGCAGGGGAUGGAACCUGGUUCUGAUUCGGAAGAGAAGCAGAAGAGAGGAGAGUGAUUUGUUUAAAAUAGGGAUUUAAUCAUAUGUUUUCUUUUUUCUUUUGAUUAAUUCCAAGUGUGGUUGUGGACUGCUUUAAAGGCGGUGUUGCGCCUUGAACCCUCGCUUACAACCCUUAAGCAAGCCGCAAACCCUAAGUAACCUCUCAGACUAUUAUUCCCUAAAAGCCCGGGUUUGAAAUUGCAAGAAAGGAUUAGGAAACGUAGCCAACCAAUUGCAGUAUAGGAUGAUGUAGCCCGACCUAAAAAUCGCAUCGUUACUUUUUCUACUGUGGCUAAAAAUUAACUCUGGGGCACCACAGGAGGGAUGUUCGUUCAGAUUUGGAAAAGAAGCUGAAGAGAGGAGAGCGCUACGAGAACUGAGUUAAAAUGUUCGAGGAUUUAGAAAUCCCUUCCGUAGCUUGUACUGUAAGUAACAUAGGAUGUAGUUGUGAUCAAUUGGUAUUUUCAAGAGGGAAUUAAUUAUAUGUUUACAUAUUUCAUUUGAUUAAUUCCGAGUGUGGUUGUGGGCUGCCUUAAAUGCGGUGUCGGAUCUCUUGAACCAUAUCAUCAAGAUUUAUGAACAUGGACGACAUCGUAAUGUAACCCUGUUAUCUUUAAACCACAAACUGACCAGAACAUCUUGCCUGAAAUAAUGUCUAUUUUUCACAUUAUAAGAAGCCCCUCAUUACAGCGGUAUCCAUCUCGUGCUUAGGUUAGGGUUAGGAUUAGGAUUAAGGUUAAGGUUGGAUGACAUGGAUGUUUAAUGUAAAGUGGAGGAAGGACCUCAUGUCCUCAAUAGAGUAUUAGAGUUUGGUUUAUUCACACACAGUAUCUGUAGAAGGACGACCGAGGCUGAUGUGCAUUCUUCUAUUGUUAGUCUUGGUUUUAUAUGGACCUUAGUGUGUGCAAAAAAUAAUUUGUUGCAAAAACUAGCCUUCACAUUAGCUUUUGUUCAACAUAAAACUCGGACCAUAGAGUGUCUUGUUCAAAAUAAUUUUUAAUUGCACAAAGAAAUGUUUAGGGAAAGGAAAAUCUUUUGUCAAAAGCAUCGGUAUGUUAAGCAAUUGUUCAAGUUUUAUCACACUAUUGCGUGUCUUGAGUUGAAGAUAUUGUGUACCUAACAAUCUGAGACAGUUAGUUUUGAUUUUCCUUAAUUUUGCAUUCCAUGUGAGUGUAGUUACCUAAGUGAUCUGCAUUGGGUGCCGUCAAAUAUUUUUGCCUGCGUUUAACUUAUUGAUUUACUAGUAAUAAAGAUCACUAAAGUAAGUACUUUGUUUUAUCGCGAUGAGCUAAAUGAGUUUUCAGUUAAACUAAAUGGUUUGCAUGAAACAGAAUCAUGUGUGUACUGUGUACAGUAAUAUCAUUUCCUCAUAUAUGCUGAAGAGUAAAUGCAACAAUAUUUGGUAACAAGCAGGCAGUUGAGACUCGAAUUAUAAAUGGUUCUCCGACGAUCAUUUUCCCAACAUUUAAAUGUUUCAAUGUUUAUGUAAUGUUCUCCCAACAAAUGCUUUCAUUAAGAAAAAUCCGUUUUUGUGUUUUUAAUGUUCCUUUUUUUUCCAGCAAAGGCUCUGUUUUACCUGUUAAAUUGUUUGAUUUGAGUUGAUUCCCUUCUAAUCGUUUUCUAGAUGUUCCCAACAGGUUGAGUGGAAUGCAUAAGUACUGCUCGUACCCAUUCCAUCAUCUUUAGUGUACAAAUCCAAAAUCAGGGUUAGCUAAACAGUUUGUAUGGAGCAGAACCAUGUGUGUACAGCAAUAUGAUUUCUUCAUAUCUGCUGAAGAGGAACUGCAAUAGUAUUUGGUGGAAAGUGGGCAAUCGAGACUCAAAUUAUAAUGGGUUCUCUGAUAAUCAUUUUCCCAACAUUUUAACUUUUCAAGGUUUAUCUAUAAGCUUUCCGGAUGAUUGCUUUCUUUAAGCAAAAUUUUCCUUAAUGUUUUAAAUGUCUCUUGUUCUCCAGCAAAGGCUCUGUUUUACUUAUUAAUUGUUUGAUCACCUUACAAUUUUCUAUUAGGCAUUCCCAACUGGUUGAAUAGAAUGUAUAAUUACUACUAAUACUCACUUCAUUGCCAUUCGUGUACAAAUCCAAUGACAGAGAUGCAUUCAAUGGGUGGUUAGAUUGUAAUGUGCCUUUUGGGGUUUUUCCCUCUAGUGCCUGCGCAAUCUCAUUCUUCAUUUGUUUAUGUUGCAGACUGUUUAUAAAUAUUCUGCUAAUAUGAGUAUGGACAUUGAGACCCAUACAAGCUCUUGUGAGCAAUUACUAGAGACUAAUACAAGCUCUUUGUGAGCAAUACACCAGAAUUCACAUAUGGAAGACCAAGAGUCACUGUUUAGAAAUUCACUUUAUUUAGACACCCAAAAUUCACAUAUGGAAGACCAAGAGUCACUGUUUAGAAACUCACUUUAUUUAGAAACCAACCAUGAAAGAAUCAAGUGUCUCAACUUAGAAUUCCACAUUAGAUGUUUUGAUGGGAAUUUGGACCUGUUUGAAUUUGGUUCUCCACAAUGAGAACUCAAUGCUUUAACCAAUUAAGCUCAAUCCUUUGAACAUUCAGUCUCAUUUGUUAAUUAAAUGAGUUAUUAUAAAUAGUAAAUACUAAGAGCAUUUUUUAAAAUUAGCUUGCACCUUCUUGCAAGGAAUUCUCCAAGGUAUGGAGAAUCUAUUAAUAUGCUUAUUACAUUUUUUUGUACAUAUGUAGUUUAGUAAUUAGUGUAAGCUUACGCAUUUUCUAUCAUUCUAUAACAUUAUAGGAGGGAUUGCCAGGCAUUUUGCUUUAAUUGAAUGCUUAUGAUAAAAUGUUUGUUUUAAUUGUUUUAAUCAACAAGACUUCCUUUGCAAUUUAGAGCUUGCUUAAGUAAAUAGAUGGGUACCAUAGAAGGAAAUCAGGGAAAAAUCGUUGUUAUUCACGAAACUUCUAAGAUGCUGAUAUUUUCCCUAAAAAAAUGCAAUUUUGUUUAAAAAUUGUUGAACAGCAAUUUUGACUGGUUUUUUAUUUUUUGUGAUUUUUUUGAAUUUAAUCAUGAUUAAUUUGAAAAAGGGUAAUGUGGGUUUGACAAAUUUUAAUAUUUAUCAUCAGUAGGGUUUAUAUACACACAUUUUGCAGUGUUUUCAUAUUUCUUCCGUCUUCUUGUGCUGUGAUGACUCCACGCAACAGCACUGAAGGGCUUUUCUCCUGCUCAGCUCCUGUUAAUGCUUUUUCCCUUACGCAUCUUUAAUUGUUGACAAAAGACUUAGGUCACAGUUUGGAAUUGUUGAUGUUUUUUGUAUAGCAUUCUGAAACUGAUAUCUUUAAGAAAGUUUAAUGUGAAGUAAUUAUAGUAUUUGAAUUCUCACUAUUAUAUUUGUUACGACCAAUAAAAUUCUUUAAAAAAUGGAGUUAAAUUAGUAAUUUUACUAAUUUAUAUAAUUUUUGAGAGAGAUUUUUAUUUUUAUGGUUAAAAUUGAUGAGGGAAACUGAUUUUUUGCUUUUAAAAGGAAAGACGUGAAUUUAGAGAAAGCCAGCUAGUAAUCUUGUUUUUCAGAGUUGAGUCAUUGAGUUUUCUUGCUAGUUUUUGACAAUUGUUUUUUACAACUCAACAAGUUUGAGUCUUUGACUCGUGUUCCACAUGAAAAAUAUGGAUCAAGCACUCUAAAAGCUCUGGUUUUUUGGUUUUAUAAGCAUUGUUUUUGUCUUUUAUAAAAUUACGAAAAUGAUGUGUGCCAGGAAGGUCUGAGUGACUUUGAAAAUCUUCAGUUGGACUUGGUGGCAGGGCCUUUACCCAUCAACCCCACCCUGUUUCUCGAUAGGGAAUGGACUAGGGGUGCUGCCUUCAUACCUCGUGAGCGGCACUACCUGUCGAUCCAUUGGGGGAUCAUCCUCAAACUCCCACCAAACUCAUUUGAUACAUUUUGUACCUGUAUUUUGCAUAAAAAUUAUGAUUUUUUUUUUUAAGUAUUCUUUAAGUAGUAAUAAGUUGGAAUCCAGACUUUUUAGAAUCUAAAAUCCAUCUUAGAGAGAACAAAAUGCCACUACAAUACUACAGGGCCGUAGAAAAGGAAUAGCGGAGACAAACUUGAGGGAAUAACUACAAAUUAAUAUUGUAUUUAUCAUUCUGGAAGGUGAUUUUUACUAGAAAUUGAGGUUGUCUGCUAAUAAGUUUUAGUUCAAAGAUCUAGUGGUUGUAUCCAGCAACAAAUAACCAUCGGAUCUACUUCUACUAUUCAACUGCAAAUUAUAAUGUGACUCAGGGAUUCAGUGGUUGGCUUAGCUCUUAGUGCAAGCCCCUGGUUCUUAUGUUUUUGGAAGCUUGUAGGGAUAUGCCUAGACUUUCAGCCUUGAUAUUAUACAAGUAUGUUAUUAAGUGAUCUUCUUCCGUUAAUCAUUCAGAUAAAUGAAUCGGGGAUAGUUGAGAUUGGGCAACUAAUACUAGGGACAUUGUAAAAAUCCAAUUUUGUACCCUAAUGUGGAUCAGAUUCGAAGUUUUGUGAAGUUUAAAGUUCGAAUGUCUAUUUUCUGCAAUCAAAUAGCUUUGUACAUAUGUGACUUAGCAAAAUUUAAUAGCUAUAAUAGGCAGGAUUUAUUAAGUAAACUAAACACCUGAGUCCUCACGUAUAUCAUGAUUAUUAUGGAUGCAACAGUCCAGUCUAACAGUAUCAUUAUGUUAAGCUCUGGACUUUUUCCUUGGAAUCUUCAAUGACAUGAUAUUUUAAUGCUUCUUACUUGUGCAAGUUGAAAUGCUUGUUUAUCUUAACAGGUCACAACUGAGAACUAAAGACCAAUAAGAGAAUAAAGCAAAGUUCAUAGGAUUUUAAAUAGGCACACACAUUCCUACUUUGAUAUUUGAUAAUUGAUCGCCAAACUCUUAAUUUUAUUUUGUUUCUUUUAAUAGGUUUUUCUUCCUUUUUCUCUAUUUUUUCACAUUUUAUUUGUGUCUAAUUUUUACCCCAUAUUCGAUUUUUAUCCUUAUUUUUUUGGAAAAAUCUAUAUACUUUCGAUUUGCCGAGUUUUUCUACAAAAGAUUUGUGCUGCUGUGUUAUUUACAGCAAUAUGACUUUUUCUUCUUGGCGCAGAUGAAUUGUUCAGUGCUUUGUGUAUUCGUGGAUAUGAUCAUGAGGUUAAAUCAAUAUAAAAAAUAUGCAUGUUCAUACCAGUUGGGUCUCGUGUCAAAAUAAGUAUUCUGGUUACUAUGAUAAAAAAACUCUUCUAUUUUUUGUAUAUGCUAGUAUGAUCAUAGUUGGGUUUUAUGCCAAAAAAAUUUGGUGACAAGGCUUUCGUCUUAAAAUUCUACCCUCCACCUUUGUAUUGCCUGCUGGAGGUUUUGCGAUUGUAGUUGGGUUGAAUGGUUUUCAAUUUUUUAUUUACUCUACUACCACCUUAUGGAUAUUGACUUUCAAACCUCUUCGUAUGUGCAGCAACUGGUAUCAGGUAAAAACUAAAUUUUGCAACCAAUAUAAGAACAUGAUAAUUUGUUUAAUUAUAUAUCUUUGUGUUGUGAAACUGCGAGUAAUGAAUUUGCUAUAUUAAAAGCUCUCUACAUGCAAAACCAUUUGUUUACAGAGAUAUGACUUUUCAUAUAUGCUGAAAAGAGUUUGAAUUUUGUUGAGGGUGGAUGGGCAGUCUAGAUUUCAUACAAUAUAAAUUCUUUCGUUGAAAAUCAUUUUCCAAACCUCUAAAGCUAUUUGAAAUUUUGAAUUAAUGGAUGAGAUGUAAAAAGCUAAGUUGCUGAAUUGGGUACGGAACGGACUUGGCUAUGAAAUGCUGUACAGCAGAAAUUUUUUUGGGGGUUUGGUAUAUUUUUGGUACGUUAAUACAAAUAUAUAUAUAUAAUUUUGUGAACCUUUAAAGUUAUUUGAAAUUUUAAAUUAAUGGAUGAGAUGUAAAAAGCUAAGCUGCUGAAUUGGGUACAGGAACGGGCGUGGGUAUGGAAUGUCGCUAUGGCAGAAAUUUUUUUUUUUGGGGGGUUGGGUACAUUUUUGGUACUUUCAUUCAAUAUAUAUAUAUAUAUAACUAGAAUCUCAUAAUAGAUAAGUUUUGAGUUCACUAAACAGCACUGUAGGUCUUAAGAAUAUCAUGAAGAUCAAACCAGAAUCACUAUAUCACUAAACAUUUCGGCAUCUAAAAACACAUACAUUUUUGGUAUGUUCAUAAAUAUAUAACUAGAAUCUCAUGAUAGAUAAGUUCUGAGUUACCUAAACAGCACUGUAGGUCUUAAGAAUAUCAUGAAGAUCAAACCAGAAUCACUAAAUCACUAAACAUUUCGGCGUCUAAAAAGGCGAACCCUGAAGAAUCCUGAAUGCAUCGACGGGAGAUUAUUUUCAGAAUCCGAUUCCAGAAUGUUACAUACCCAGAAUUGCCCAAGAAAUCCCACGAUUUAGCUACUUUGGUAAAAAGUUAACUGUUUAUUUUAUUUUACCAUAAUGAGUCAAACGAACAAGUCUUUUGUGAUAGUUGACACAAAUAUAUUUCUUUUAUUUGUAAGCUUUGUAUGGAUGAUCUACAGAUGUUUCGCCACAUGUUUAGUAUUUUCCUGUAAUGCACUUUCUCUUGGUAAGGCAGAACCAUGUGCAGCAAUAUUAAUUUUCACGAUAGUGUUGAGAACAAGCAGCAGCUGAGAGUCAUUUCAACUUCAUAUUGAUGCUUUACCAGUACUUUUUUGGUAUUUUAUAACCUUAUCUAGGGCAUCGAUUGUGAUUUAAUUUAGUUUUUGAAUGCCAAUGGACCAAUCUAUUGUCAUAAACAAUGUCCGGGUUCACGAUUUAUUUAAUUUAACUGCUCUUGUAUUGUUGAUC